GGCCCGUUCGUCUAUCGGUUCGAGGACACCGUCCCUUCAAGGCGGCAAGACCGGUUCGACUCCGGUACGGGUCA
rnacentral:tRNA from 1 species